UACGGAGGGGGCUAGCGUUGUUCGGAAUUACUGGGCGUAAAGCGCACGUAGGCGGAUUGUUAAGUCGGGGGUGAAAUCCCGGGGCUCAACCCCGGAAUGGCCUCCGAUACUGGCAAUCUUGAGGUCGGGAGAGGUGAGUGGAAUGGCGAGUGUAGAGGUGAAAUUCGUAGAUAUUCGCCGGAACACCAGUGGCGAAGGCGGCUCACUGGCCCGAUACUGACGCUGAGACGCGAAAGCGUGGGGAGCAAACAGG
rnacentral:rRNA from 1 species